rnacentral:rRNA from 1 species
CCCUUAGACGUUCUGGGCCGCACGCGCGCUACACUGACCAGUGCAACAAGCAUCCGUCCUUGGCCGACAGGCUCGGGCAAUCUUUGAACGCUGGUCGUGAUGGGGAUAGACUUUUGCAAUUUUUGGUCUUCAACGAGGAAUUCCUAGUGAACGCAAGUCAUCAACUUGCAUUGAUUACGUCCCUGCCCUUUGUACACACCGCCCGUCGCACCUACCGAUUGAAUGGUCCGGUGAAGCCUCCGGAUUGGCGCGCACCUCGGUGCCGCCGAGAAGUUGGCUAAACCUUACCAUUUAGAGGAAGGUGAAGUCGUAACA